AGCCGAAACGGCCCGGUGGGGCCGUCUGCCGGGAUUGGCCGCCCGGCACUGACGAUGGCAGGCCAAU
rnacentral:hammerhead_ribozyme from 1 species